AUUGAACGCUGGCGGCAGGCCUAACACAUGCAAGUCGAACGGUAACAGGAAACAGCUUGCUGUUUCGCUGACGAGUGGCGGACGGGUGAGUAAUGUCUGGGAAACUGCCUGAUGGAGGGGGAUAACUACUGGAAACGGUAGCUAAUACCGCAUAACGUCGCAAGACCAAAGAGGGGGACCCUCGGGCCUCUUGCCAUCGGAUGUGCCCAGAUGGGAUUAGCUUGUUGGUGGGGUAACGGCUCACCAAGGCGACGAUCCCUAGCUGGUCUGAGAGGAUGACCAGCCACACUGGAACUGAGACACGGUCCAGACUCCUACGGGAGGCAGCAGUGGGGAAUAUUGCACAAUGGGCGCAAGCCUGAUGCAGCCAUGCCGCGUGUAUGAAGAAGGCCUUCGGGUUGUAAAGUACUUUCAGCGGGGAGGAAGGGAGUAAAGUUAAUACCUUUGCUCAUUGACGUUACCCGCAGAAGAAGCACCGGCUAACUCCGG
rnacentral:rRNA from 1 species